AAUUUUUGGUUGCCUCUGAAAGUGGAUUCCUGUUUCUAAAGUCAGCAGCAUGCUUUGUGUCCUUGCCUCUAACUGAGCCUCAGACUCGCCCACCGCUGCGUCAGGACCUUCUGCUUGCAGAUGCAGCUGCCGGUCGGGUGUCCUCUCACUCUGCAGCCUGGGAAGAGGGGCAGCGCCUCGCUUCCGGGACCAUGCAUGCACGGGUGGCCUCGAACCCAUGGGGCGGAGUUCAGGGCUCUGAGUGCUGGACAACGCCCGCUUCUCCCUGACCUUGCCGCUGAGUGGAAACGCCCUGAGCCAGAUGAAUCUGUCUUGACCCUCCCUGCGCGUCCUGUCACUCAGCUCACCUACUGCUCCGCAGGGGCACGUGCCGAGGCCACUGUAGAGGACCAGCUUCCUCCAGCCCCCCCAGACCUAAGUGUGUCCCUCCUGGCUGGGAGCCAAAGAGAGAUGUCUGUCUGUGCCUGCAGGAGCUCAGAAACGCCACAGGAGCUGGGCAGGGUGGGGUACAUGUGCAAUCCCCACACUCUCGAAGGCUGAGGCAGGAGGAUUCCAGGUUGCAGCCCAGCCUGAGUAAUUUAGCAACAUAGGGAGACGCUGUAUCCAAAGAAUAAAAAAGGG
rnacentral:lncRNA from 1 species